rnacentral:rRNA from 1 species
UAGGGAAUCUUCCGCAAUGGGCGAAAGCCUGACGGAGCAACGCCGCGUGAGUGAUGAAGGUCUUCGGAUCGUAAAACUCUGUUAUUAGGGAAGAACAAAUGUGUAAGUAACUAUGCACGUCUUGACGGUACCUAAUCAGAAAGCCACGGCUAACUACGUGCCAGCAGCCGCGGUAAUACGUAGGUGGCAAGCGUUAUCCGGAAUUAUUGGGCGUAAAGCGCGCGUAGGCGGUUUUUUAAGUCUGAUGUGAAAGCCCACGGCUCAACCGUGGAGGGUCAUUGGAAACUGGAAAACUUGAGUGCAGAAGAGGAAAGUGGAAUUCCAUGUGUAGCGUUGAAAUGCGCAGAGAUAUGGAGGAACACCAGUGGCGAAGGCGACUUUCUGGUCUGUAACUGACGCUGAUGUGCGAAAGCGUGGGGAUCAAACAGG